rnacentral:rRNA from 1 species
GGCUCAGAACGAACGCUGGCGGCGUGCUUAACACAUGCAAGUCGAACGAACCUUCGGGUUAGUGGCGGACGGGUGAGUAACGCGUGAGAAUCUGCCCUCAGGAGGGGGAUAACGGUUGGAAACGACCGCUAAUACCCCAUAUGCCGAGAGGUGAAAAGAAAUUCGCCUGAGGAUGAGCUCGCGUCUGAUUAGCUAGUUGGUGUGGUAAUGGCGCACCAAGGCUUCGAUCAGUAGCUGGUCUGAGAGGAUGAUCAGCCACACUGGGACUGAGACACGGCCCAGACUCCUACGGGAGGCAGCAGUGG